rnacentral:rRNA from 1 species
UACGAAGGGUGCAAGCGUUACUCGGAAUUACUGGGCGUAAAGCGUGCGUAGGCGGUUUGUUAAGUCUGUCGUGAAAGCCCCGGGCUCAACCUGGGAAUGGCGAUGGAUACUGGCGAGCUAGAGUACGGUAGAGGAGAGUGGAAUUCCCGGUGUAGCAGUGAAAUGCGUAGAGAUCGGGAGGAACAUCAGUUGCGAAGGCGGCUCUCUGGACCAGUACUGACGCUGAGGCACGAAAGCGUGGGGGAGCAAACAGG